rnacentral:rRNA from 1 species
UACGGAGGAUGCAAGCGUUAUCCGGAUUUAUUGGGCAUAAAGCGUCCGCAGGUGGUUUUCCAAGUCUGCUGUUAAAGCGCGAGGCUUAACCUCGUACAGGCAGUGGAAACUGGAUGACUAGAGUAUGGUAGGGGUAGCGGGAAUUCCCAGUGUAGCGAUGAAAUGCGUAGAUAUUGGGAAGAACACCAGCGGCGAAAGCGCGCUACUGGGCCAUUACUGACACUCAUGGACGAAAGCUAGGGGAGCGAAAGGG